AUGAAUGGCCAUACUGUGCUGAAAACACUUGUUCUCGUCUAAUCUCCAAAGUUAAGCUGCAUCAGGUCAGGACAGUACUUGGAUGGGUGACUGCCUGGGAAUCUCAGAUGCUGUUUGGA
rnacentral:rRNA from 1 species